ACGGAGGGUGCAAGCGUUGUUCGGAAUCACUGGGCGUAAAGGGCGCGCAGGCGGCUUGAUAAGUCAGAUGUGAAAGCCCAUGGCUUAACUGUGGAAGGGCAUUUGAAACUGUCAGACUUGAGUAUCAGAGGGGAAAGUGGAAUUCCCGGUGUAGGAGUGAAAUUCGGAGAUAUCUGGAGGAAUACCGGUGGCGAAGGCGACUUUCCGGCUGAAUACUGACACUGAGGCGCGAAAGCGUGGGGAGCAAACAG
rnacentral:rRNA from 1 species